GGACCCCACUGCUAUCGGGAUGGGACUAAGACAUGCUAGUCGAGCGUCUCCAAGCUAUGGAAGAGACGCGGCACACAGCUCAGUAACACGUGGCUAACCUGCCCUUGGGACAAGGACAACUCCGGGAAACUGGGGCUAAUCCCUGAUAAGUGAGAACUCCUGGAAUGGAUUCUCGCUCAAAGGACGUUUAGACCAUGCUUCUAAGCGUCGCCCAAGGAGGGGGCCGCGACCGAUCAGGUUGUUGGUGAGGUAACGGCUCACCAAGCCUUUAACCGGUACGGGCCGUGAGAGCGGAAGCCCGGAGAUGGGCACUGAGACAAGGGCCCAGGCCCUACGGGGCGCAGCAGUCGCGAAAACUCCGCAAUACACGAAAGUGUGACGGGGCCAUCCCGAGUGCCAUCCGCUGAGGAUGGCUUUUCCCCAGUGUAUAAAGCUGGGGGAAUAAGGAGAGGGCAAGCCUGGUGUCAGCCGCCGCGGUAAUACCAGCUCUCCGAGUGGUGGGGAUGUUUAUUGGGCCUAAAGCAUUCGUAGCCUGCUUGGCAAGUCCUCCGUCAAAUCCAACGAUUCAAUCGUUGGGCUGCGGGGGAUACUGUCCGGCUAGGGGGCGGGAGAGGCCGACGGUAUCCUCGGGGUAGGGGUGAAAUCCUAUAAUCCCGGGAGGACCACCAGUGGCGAAGGCUGUCGGCUAGAACGCGCUCGACGGUGAGGGAUGAAAGCUGGGGGAGCGAACCGGAUUAGAUACCCGGGUAGUCCCAGCUGUAAACGAUGCAGGCUAGGUGUUGGCGCGGCUACGUGCCGCUCCAGUGCCGCAGGGAAGCCGUUAAGCCUGCCGCCUGGGAAGUACGGCCGCAAGGCUGAAACUUAAAGGAAUUGGCGGGGGAGCACCACAAGGUGUGAAGCUUGCGGUUU
rnacentral:rRNA from 1 species